CCUUAAGUUGUCACCCCGGGGAGAAGGCCCACCAAGCGAGUGCCUCGGACUGCCGUGAAAGGCCCUGCCUCGUGGCAAGACAAGCUCAGAAGCAGGACGCUGUCAUCACAGGCUAGAGGCAACAUUCCUUUAGGAAAGGUGCAGAGCCAGCCUGACCAAACACAGGCAGCAGAGCACAAGGGUUGGAGCUGAAGAAAUGGGUUCCCAGAGGAGUCAGGUUUGUUCUUCUCUGUUACAGUGUUAGGUAGAAUCAGUCCUUCUCACUCUACUUCUUUUUCAUGAUUGAUUUAGCCUGUUUCUGGGGCACGUGCCUUUGCAUAAAAUUUAAGAGUAAACCUGUGUCUACCAAAAAAAACCUUGCUGGGAUUUUGAUGGCAUUAUAUUGAACCUGUAAUCUGGGGAGAACUAAUGUAUUUGUUGUGUUGAGUCUUUCAAUCCAUUAACAUGGUAUGUCUCUUCUUUAUUUCAAUCUUUUUGGAUUUUUUUUCAUCAGCACUUUGUAAUUUUCAGGACGUAGAUCCUGUGUAUGUUUUGUCAAGCUUAUACUCGGUGUUUCGUUUUCUUUGGCAUGCCUGUAAAUGGCAUUAUUUCAGAGUUUCAUUUCUGUAUGUUUACUGUCAGUAAAUAGAAGUACUGUUUAUGUUUGUAUGUUGAUCUUGCAACAUUGCUGAACUCACUCACUAGUUCCAAGAGGUGUUUGGUAGCUUCCUGGGUAUUUUCUAUCUAUAAACAAGCAUGUCCCCUGCAAAUAAGUUUUUAAUUCUUCCUUUUCCAUAUGUAUGCCUUUUACUCAUUUCCCCCCCUUAUUACAGUUAAUGGCUAUAACUUCAAAAACUCUGUUGAACAAGGAUGAUGACCCAAAAAAGGAGCUUCCGCUGUGGUACUGCAGCAUUGGCAUUGUCUUGGGAGCACUGGGAGGCAGGUUCAUUCCCCAGCCUGGCACAGCACUGCUGCAGUCGUGGUUUCGUUUGAGACUGUGGCUCAGAUCUGAUCCCUGGCCCGGGAGCUGCAUAUGCCAUGGGGUGGCCAAAAAAGGAAAAAAAAAAAAAAA
rnacentral:lncRNA from 1 species